UACGGGGGGGGUAAGCGGUUGUUCGGAAUUACUGGGCGUAAAGGGCUCGGUAGGCGGCCAACUAAGUCAGACGUGAAAUCCCUCAGCUUAACUGGGGAACUGCGUCUGAUACUGGAUGGCUUGAGUUUGGGAGAGGGGAUGCGGAAUUCCAGGUGUAGCGGUGAAAUGCGUAGAUAUCUGGAGGAACACCGGUGGCGAAGGCGGCAUCCUGGACCAACACUGACACUGAGGAGCGAAAGCCAGGGGAGCAAACGGGG
rnacentral:rRNA from 1 species